AGCAGCCGCGGUAAUUCCAGCUCCAAUAGCGUAUAUUAAAGUUGUUGCAGUUAAAAAGCUCGUAGUUGAAUUUCGGGAUCAGUACGUCGGUCGUGCCUCUGGUAUGUACUGGUGUUACUGGUUCCUCCCUUCUGAAGAACUGUCAUGUCAUUAAUUUGGUGUGGCGGGGAAUCAGGACUGUUACUUUGAAAAAUUAGAGUGUUUAAAGCAGGCUCGCGCUUGAAUACAUUAGCAUGGAAUAAUGAAAUAGGACGUUUGAUCCUAUUUUGUUGGUUUCUAGGAUUGACGUAAUGAUUAAUAGGGAUAGUUGGGGGCAUUAGUAUUCAAUUGUCAGAGGUGAAAUUCUUGGAUUUAUUGAAGACUAACUACUGCGAAAGCAUUUGCCAAGGAUGUUUUCAUUAAUCAAGAACGAAAGUUAGGGGAUUCGAAGACGAUCAGAUACCGUCGUAGUCUUAACCAUAAACUAUGCCGACUAGGGAUCGGAUGAUGUUAAUUUUUAAUGA
rnacentral:rRNA from 1 species